CGAGCGACUGCGUUAGGUCCGUCCACUCGCGGCCGUAAACCCUAAUCCAGUCCCGAUCGAGGCGCGGCGGAGCGACCACAUACUCCUUAUUCGGUUGCUUCCAAAAAAAAGUCCCGAUUGGAGGCGCAGCGGGAGCGACCGCAUCGAAUCCAUCCACUCCGGAUCCGAGGCGCAGAGAGGACCCAAUGCAUCCAGUCUGUCCCGAUUCAAGGUGCGGCGGACCGACCACGUCGAAUCCAUCCAGCCCGGAUUCAUCCACUCCGUGAAUCGCCGUCCGGCUGUUCGUCUCUUGAAACUGCUACCGUGGGUUUGAAGGAAGUAAUCACUCUUCAGUUUCUCUCCAACCAUUCAUGACGGAUGAUGUGCGCCCCUCGCGGUCCUUAAUGGAUGCCUGGCUCUUUGUUUCUCAUUCUUCCGCUGUGUAUAUAUGCUUCCUCUAGGCUAACUUUUCUAACUCCAGCGACAGAACAUCCAUCAGCAUGGUGCUCUUCUAGGUUCCCCUCUGUCUUUAUUUUUUAUCAUCCAUGUACGAUAUUUGCUUCUUCCACCCAACUUGUACAGGUAUUGUUCAAACUGGGAGAUGGUCGAUUGAUUCGGCCAGAUAUUGGAAACUGGUUCUCGCAUUUUUUUUCUGAAAUUCUUUAGGUGAUAGUUCUAAUGGCUUCUGGACAGGUAAUUACUUCACUUGGACUACCAGAUUUCAUUUUUCGAUUCAUGUUUUACCAUCCAUGUUUUUACAGCAUAGAAGAUUAAUUACUCAUAUAUCUGUUAUCCACACCAUGGUUCUUCUAUUUGUUGCUGUACGCAACAGGUUUAAGUGGAGCAGUGUAGUUAUAUGCGCAAAAGAAUGUAGCCAUACUGUUAUAGAGGGGGGUGAAGCCUCAGUAUCUUCUUCUAUGCUGAAGUGAGCAAAGCCCAAUAAUCUUACCGAUAUUUGAAAGUAUGUGUGUUGAUUUUCAAGACACGGUGCAGGCUUUGCAUCAUUCCAAGCAUAAGGCAAGAUACACUUGGUUCAGUCUGGGGUCAGUGAUGUCAGCAAAUCAUUGGAAGAGUUCAGGGAGGGGCUAUUUUAGUUACGACCUGAGGCACAACGAGCAGGAGGAGUUGGCCAACUGGAGUGCUAGAUUCAGGGCAAGUUUGCCUAAGCACUUUUAUUAGUUCCGUUGAUAAUACCAGGACUGGAGAACUGAAAGCCCUUGUAGAUGCUAGAGGAACAAGAUUGACAACGGCCUUUUGCAUUGCACUCUUGAUAAAGCUUCAAGCUCAAGGCCUUUGUGAAGUUUUCCAGGAAGAAGAUUGACUAUAGCAUCUUGGAGUGCACUAAUAUUAAUAAAUAAACCCUUCAAUUUUUUUUGUCGCCCAAAGGCUACAAGUUCUGUAAUUUACCCAAAUACUUAGCAUUUUCUCUACCCAAAUAAGAGUGUAAUGUUUCAGAUCAUAUAUUCCCAGUAUUAUUAAGACAUCAUGUAUGUGAAGUUA